rnacentral:tRNA from 1 species
GAGGAUUUAGUUAAAAAUAUAACAUUACUUUGUCAGGGUAAAAUUACUAGUUAAACUCUUGUAAUCCUCU